CCUACGGGUGGCAGCAGUGAGGAAUAUUGGUCAAUGGGAGAGAUCCUGAACCAGCCAAGCCGCGUGAGGGAAGACGGCCCUAUGGGUUGUAAACCUCAUUUGUCGGAGAGCAAAACCCGGGACGUGUCCCGGACUGCGUGUCUCCGUAGAAAAAGCAUCGGUUAACUCGGUGCCAGCAGCCGCGGUAAUACGGAGGAUGCGGGCGUUAGCCGGAUUUAUUGGGUUUAAAGGGUGCGUAGGCGGUCCGUUAAGUCCGCGGGAAAAGUGCGGGGCUCAACCCCGUCGAGCGGUUGAAACUGGCAGACUUGAGUUGGCGAGAGGUACGCGGAAUGCGCGGUGUAGCGGUGAAAUGCAUAGAUAUCGCGCAGAACACCGAUUGCGAAGGCAGCGUACCGGCGCCAGACUGACGCUGAGGCACGAAAGCGUGGGGAUCGAACAGGAUUAGAUACCCCUGUAGUC
rnacentral:rRNA from 1 species